rnacentral:rRNA from 1 species
UACGUAGGGUGCAAGCGUUGUCCGGAAUUAUUGGGCGUAAAGAGCUCGUAGGCGGUCUGUUGCGUCGGCUGUGAAAACCCGGGGCUCAACUCCGAGCCUGCAGCCGAUACGGGCAGACUAGAGUUCGGCAGGGGAGACUGGAAUUCCUGGUGUAGCGGUGAAAUGCGCAGAUAUCAGGAGGAACACCGGUGGCGAAGGCGGGUUGCUGGGCUGAUACUGACGCUGAGGCGCGAAAGCCAGGGGAGCGAACGGG